AUGACACAAUGCAAAGACCUAUACUGCUCUGCAGAUGAAAAUAUUUACAACCAGUACAGCACAAUGAAGGGCCUUCAACAAAAAUGUCAUGUUUAAAGAACAACACGUGCCAACAUUUUUAUAAAUGCACUGUUCGCAAAAAACUUCUUUGCAGGUGUUGCAAGUCUUACAGUACAGUUCGUGUUCUACAAUCCAUAGCAGCAGGACGUUGACACCAGUGCCGACUGCAUUGCCG